rnacentral:sRNA from 1 species
GUGGGACACGGAAUCCCUGUCACAGAGCCUCGUGGAGACAUGGCUCUUGGGAGACUCCCCUCCUCCAUCUCCUGGCAGAGGCUUUGGGGACUGAAGGGCAAGGGUUCAAGGUCCCGAAAGGGGACAGGGAAUGGUACCCAAGGCCCAUGUGUGUGCAUGUAGUGUCUGGUACAAAGACCGUGUCAUAUGAACAGGUGGGUACAACACAGAACCAUUCCUAUCCAUUUCUGACACUGUGACCUCAGUCAAGUCGAUAGCUUCUUGUGGCUUUGACCUGAUCAUAAAGUUUAGCACUCAUGAAGCGCUGGUCACACGGACCUCCUUGGCAUGUGGUUCUCUACGAAACUGGAGGGAAUAUCCCACUCUUUCCACAGCUAAACAACUGAGGCUCACAACAGGCACCCCAGCUCCCUUUAUCAGUUUCUCUGGUUCUCAGCUCAAGAUUUCUCCUCUGCGUCCAAGCCUCCCUACUAAAUAUAACUCCAGGACCUAGCAGACUUUACUUUUUGAUUUUGAAACAUGUAUCAUGUGGCUUGGGCUGGUCUUGAACUCAGUAUGUGGCGGAGGAUGACCUCGAACUUUUGACUGCCUCCACCUCCUGGGUGCUAUGGUUACAAAAGCAUGUGUUACCACGCCCGGCUUUAUUCAGUGCUGGGAAUGGAGCCACAUCUCAACCAUCAAGCGACCUUGGAUGGACACGGUCUUGGGCAGGGACUAUAAGGGACAAAAUUGGUAAGAGGAUCAUAUCUGCUUCCUCAAUGCCAGAACAGGUAUCUGAAGGCCUCGCAGCCCCUUAAAGCUCACAGGGCAUGACGCCACUCCUACCAGGCAUCAGCUGCUCUGGGUACACAACCCGCCUAGGCUCACACUGGAUCUCUCCGAAGAGCUUUCCCUGGCCACAGCAGCAUGGUGUGGACAGUGGGUGAGCAGCAGACAGGUCCUGCCCAUUUAUACACACCCUGGCAGCUGUGCCGUGAGCCUGGAGCACGCUCUCGCCUCUCUUGCCCAGCCUGGCCAUGGCUGCUUCACAAGACAGACCUAUCUGCGUUGAAGGCUGGGGAUUUCGAUGAUUGGGGAGUUUUAUGUCCCCUACCCAGUCCUGUCCCAACCCUCCCUCACAUCUUACACUGUGAGUCUGCCUCUCCCAGGAGGAGUCUCUCAUUAAGGUCUGGGGCUGGCCAAUGAGGCAGGGUUGCCUAGCUGUGCAGUGAGCUCCUGGGACCUGUCAGAACCGGAACCACAGACAGACAUGUGCCACUCAGAGUCAGAACCACAGACAUGUGCCACUCAGAGUCGGAACCACAGACAUGUGCCACUAUGCCUGGUUGUUUACACAGGCUCUGGAGAUCGACCUCGAGUCCUCGGUUUUUCGAGGCAAGCAUUUUAUAGAUUGAGCUCCCUCAGCCUCAACAGACACAGGAUUUUAAAACAGGGUGUCGUCAUCACAUUAACCCUUCGAGGGAGGUUUUGUCAUACUCCAUUUAAUACGCAACCAUUUUAAGGGUCAUGACUGAGAGACCUGUGGGAGGCUACAACCCAAGCUGGCUAGUGAUGGAUUUAAGCUACGUCUUCUAUGAAGAAGCAGCUGAGACAAUGCGUCCUUGAGGAGUCAGGUAGUCUCCUCUGGCCCUUCUACCUCCCUUCUCACCUUCGUCAUUGAUGUAGGCCUCCCAGUCAAAGGUAGAGUUGCCGGCCCAGCUCUCCUGGCUGUUCCAAGUGUCAUUGAUGUACCAAGUGUCAUUGCCGUACCAAGUGUCAUUGCUGUACCAAGUGUCAUUGCCAUA